rnacentral:siRNA from 1 species
CGACCUUCUCAGUUGUGGUA